rnacentral:rRNA from 1 species
GACAGAGGCCCCGAGCGUUAGGCGGAAUCACUGGGCUUAAAGCGUGUGUAGGCGGAUCGUUAAGUGUCUUGUGAAAUCCCACGGCUCACCCGUGGAACUGCUGGGCAUACUGGCGAUCUUGGGCCACUCAGGGGCAGCUGGAACAAGCGGUGGAGCGGUGAAAUGCGUAGAUAUCGCUUGGAACGCCGAAGGUGAAAACAGGCUGCUGGGAGUGUGCCGACGCUGAGACACGAAAGCCAGGGGAGCAAACGGG